UACGUAGGGGGCAAGCGUUGUCCGGAAUCAUUGGGCGUAAAGAGCGUGUAGGCGGCUUGGUAAGUCCGCUGUGAAAGUCCAGGGCUCAACCCUGGAAUGCCGGUGGAAACUGUCAAGCUUGAGUCCGGAAGAGGCGAGUGGAAUUCCUGGUGUAGCGGUGAAAUGCGCAGAUAUCAGGAGGAACACCGAUGGCGAAGGCAGAUCUCUGGGCCGUAACUGACGCUGAGGAGCGAAAGCAUGGGGAGCGAACAGG
rnacentral:rRNA from 1 species